CGAACGGAAGGAUAUGCAGAGAUAGAGAUUUCGUCAAAUCAAGUAGUAGUCUUUAGUGGCGGGACGGGUGGAGUAACGACGUGGGUAACCUGCCACUAUACAGGGGAGUAACACUUAGAAAUAGGUGCUAAUACCGCAUAAGCGCACAUGGCCGCAUGGCCAGGUGUGAAAAACUCCGUGGUAUAUGAUGGACCCGCGUCUGAUUAGCUAGUUGGUGAGGUAACGGGCCCACCCAAGGCGACGAUCAGUAGCCGGCCUGAGAGGGUGGACGGCCACAUUGGGACUGAGACACGGCCCAAACUCCUACGGGAGGCAGCAGUGGGGGAUAUUGGACAAUGGGGGGAACCCUGAUCCAGCGACGCCGCGUGAGUGAAGAAGUAUCUCGGUAUGUAAAGCUCUAUCAGCAAGGAAGAAAGAAAUGACGGUACCUGAGUAAGAAGCCCCGGCUAACUACGUG
rnacentral:rRNA from 1 species